GACGAACCGUGCGAACGUUGUUCGGAAUCACUGGGCUUAAAGGGCGCGUAGGCGGCUUCGCAAGUCCGGGGUGAAAGCCCCCAGCUUAACUGGGGAAGUGCCUCGGAUACUGCGGAGCUCGAGCGAGGUAGGGGCAGCGGGAACUUCCGGUGGAGCGGUGAAAUGCGUUGAUAUCGGAAGGAACGCCGGUGGCGAAAGCGCUCUGCUGGACUGCAACUGACACUCAGGGACGAAAGCUAGGGGAGCGAAUGGG
rnacentral:rRNA from 1 species